CUUUUAUUUUCAUCAAUCCAUUUGGCUGGCAGUGGCAAAUUGUACUGCUCUUUUGGUCAGUGAGUGACAACACUAAUGUUUACCAAAUAAGUGAUUAGCAGCUAAAUCGAGAAUUAAAUAAUUGUGCGUUUUUGCAUCUUUUACUGGAUCAACAGAUUGAUGUUUACAGACUGGGCACGUGCAGCUAAUCCUAACUGGUCGAGGUAGGGUACGGGCUCGAGACGAGGGACUGUCCGUUUACUAGCCUAACUAGCCAGCAGCAUUUUUCUAGAGAUUUAGCUAGCUAACGUUAGCUUCGAGUUAUUGUUGAUAAACAGGCAUAGAAAUAAGAUGCCAGGUGCUCAGUUCAAGGCAGUUUACGUGCCAAGUUUUGGAUCUCAAUCCUCACGAUGUAGUCAAAAAGAUGGACAGCAAACGAAAAAGUACUUGAUCGAGUUGUCCUGCUCACAGAGAAGACACGAUGCGUUGUCAACGAAAAAUAAGAUCAAAUUAACCAAGUGUAAGCCUGCACUGUUCAAGAAGAAACGAAAGGAGGAGAGAAGGUCGAUGCCUCCACGACGACCCGUGAUAGACAGAUUGACAGCUGUCCGAAGUCAAGGUGGAGGAGAGCGAUCACAACAUCAGAAACGGGGAAGUCCUGAUGUUGGGCAAAAAUCCUCGUUCCUUCCUUGUUCCUCCAUGUCCAAUACAGGCACUGCUCAGAGCAUGAUGAGUGAAGACAUCUUCACCUUCUACCAGAGAGACAAGCACACAUCAACCAACCAAACCCAGUGGGCAGCCAGACAGGCUGUGUUGAGGACCAUCGGUAGGAUGCUGCAGGAGAACAGGAGCAUCAGAGAGAGACUGGUCUCCCUCAGCCAGAGCAGUCAGGUUAUAAAUUAAACUCAGACCGAAGACUAGAUUACAAUCUGGGAUUAAUACAUAGAUUAUGGAACAAAUCUUUCCCUCUCAAACUCAGGAAUGGAAACGUUUUCUUUGUUUUGCCCAAGUUUAUGGACUACCUUUAAAAUGUGCUGAUUUGAGAUGGAAUGAAGAUUAAGUUAUUUAUGUUACCUGUAACUUUACCUGUACUGUACAUCUCCAGCAAUCUGUUCCUUUAGUUUCCUCUUUAAUAGACUGGUUGAAGAAAUUGACUAUAGGUUGGUUUUGAUGGGGAACACACAUAUUUUGACUGUUGACACAGAUUUUGCCUGUUGUCACAGAUUUUGACUGUUGUCAUGGGGAAAGAAGAGUUCUGAAUUAAAACCACGUCUUGAG